CAGUCGCCGCGGUAAUACAGAGGGUGCGAGCGUUAAUCGGAUUUACUGGGCGUAAAGCGUGCGUAGGCGGCUAAUUGAGUCGGAUGUGAAAUCCCCGAGCUUAACUUGGGAAUUGCAUUCGAUACUGGUUAGCUAGAGUAUGGGAGAGGAUGGUAGAAUUCCAGGUGUAGCGGUGAAAUGCGUAGAGAUCUGGAGGAAUACCGAUGGCGAAGGCAGCCAUCUGGCCUAAUACUGACGCUGAGGUACGAAAGCAUGGGGAGCAAACAGGAUUAGAUACCCCUGUAGUCCCUGUCUCUUAUAC
rnacentral:rRNA from 1 species